rnacentral:sRNA from 1 species
CAGGUAGAAAAAUACAAGAAAAAUUAUCUUCCAAUGCAAGGCACAGCACAGCCGCCUCACACGCCCAGCAGCUUGUUGGCUGACCACCUGCCUCCGCUCUCCUCCUUCAGGCCAUUCUCCCGUAAUAUCCAGCUCCGUUACACUUUUUAACAUGUAGGUCAGAUUCUGGCACUUGCUCGACACCCUUCCAAGCAAUCCACCUCGAAGAUCCAAGUCUGCACCUCCUCGUGAUUUAGGCAGUUUGGAUAAGGGACAAGCUGCCUCUCCCAGGGAGCCACCUGAACCACUGAACUUCCCAGAUCCUGAAUAUAAAGAGGAGGAAGACCAAGACAUACAGGGAGAAAUCAGUCAUCCUGAUGGAAAGGUGGAAAAGGUUUAUAAGAAUGGGUGCCGUGUUAUACUGUUUCCCAAUGGAACUCGAAAGGAAGUGAGUGCAGAUGGGAAGACCAUCACUGUCACUUUCUUUAAUGGUGACGUGAAGCAGGUCAUGCCAGACCA